rnacentral:rRNA from 1 species
GAUGAACGCUGGCGGCGUGCCUAAUACAUGCAAGUCGAGCGAACGGACGAGAAGCUUGCUUCUCUGAUGUUAGCGGCGGACGGGUGAGUAACACGUGGAUAACCUACCUAUAAGACUCGGAUAACUUCGGGAAACCGGAGCUAAUACCGGAUGAUAUUUUGAACCGCAUGGUUCAAAAGUGAAAGACGGUCUUGCUGUCACUUAUAGAUGGAUCCGCGCUGCAUUAGCUAGUUGGUAAGGUAACGGCUUACCAAGGCAACGAUGCAUAGCCGACCUGAGAGGGUGAUCGGCCACACUGGAACUGAGACACGGUCCAGACUCCUACGGGAGGCAGCAGUAGGGAAUCUUCCGCAAUGGGCGAAAGCCUGACGGAGCAACGCCGCGUGAGUGAUGAAGGUCUUCGGAUCGUAAAACUCUGUUAUUAGGGAAGAGCAUAUGUGUAAGUAACUGUGCACAUCUUGACGGUACCUAAUCAGAAAGCCACGGCUAACUACGUG